rnacentral:lncRNA from 1 species
CAUAUUUCUAUUUUUAAGUCCUAUUACAUGUGAUAUUUUCCAUUUUGCCUUCUAUUAGGCCUGAAAUUGGAAAUUAUUUAAAACCUAACAAACCCCAGAGUUUAUCCCUGUUCUUUGAGUAGCAACAGAAGUAUGGCUGUCAUGGUUUGACACAUCAAUGAAGAACAGCCUCUGCUCUGCAGCAGGUACUCAAGUGGAACUUUUGCAAGUGGGCUCUCAUCAGGAGUGAAACACUGGCUGCUGACUCUGCUGCUUUUGCUCACAGACUGCUGCCUUUAGGAACCAGCCAUCUCUUCAGGGACUACUUUAAAUCCCAGAAUGUUCAAGAGCCAUCACUGUACAAACAGAAGCUCCAACUGAACGAAACCAGAAGAAGUGGAUAUGGCAAAUUCUCUGGUCCAAGUGGUGAUAUUAAUCUGGAAGAUACAGGAGUUGCUCAUUUUAAUGCUGUCCAGCAGACUAUGUUCCAUGCUUUCUCAGCUGUUUGGAUCUGCAGUUCAGGAUUGGACUAAGAAAAAUGGUGAUGGGAUCAAAUUAUUUUUAUUCUUAAAUGAGGACAAUUCCAGUUUUAAACAUACACAUGUGCUUCCAAUGCUUUCAGUAGUCAAGGAUGAAAUUUUGAACAGACAUGAAUUCCUCAGUCUUUGUUUCUUUUUCCCUGAAGGAUGGAAUUUGGACUUUGCCCACCAGUGCAGUCCUUGCUAUAGGCAGAUGUUUCUUCUGUUCUUACAGCAGUAG